GCUUCUGCUUGGCUGCCUAGUCCACAGCCUCCCGAUUCACCAUUCACCUGGUCCCAGCAACAGAAGUCUCAGCUGGACACACAACAUGCUUUAGAGACUUGAAAAUACUGGAAAUCUGUCCGGAUCCAAAUUAUUUUGCAAGCCAGAUGAGUAACCAGAGGGCAUGAAAGGUUGAGAACAUUUGACUUCCCUGCAAACCUUGGUAUAGAUCACUUCCUUUUCUGUAGGAAAGGAAAGGCACCAAAGAGCACAAUGAGUACAAGAAAGCGUCGUGGUGGAGCAAUAAAUUCUAGACAAGCUCAGAAGCGAACUCGGGAAGCAACCUCCACCCCCGAGAUCUCCUUGGAAGCAGAACCCAUAGAACUCGUGGAAACUGCUGGAGAUGAAAUUGUGGACCUCACUUGUGAAUCUUUAGA
rnacentral:lncRNA from 1 species